rnacentral:rRNA from 1 species
UACGAGGGGUGCAAGCGUUGCUCGGAAUUAUUGGGCGUAAAGGGUAGGUAGGUGGUCUGAUUUGUCAGGGGUGAAAGCCUUGGGCUUAACCCAAGAAGUGCCCCUGAAACGGUCAGACUGGAGUCUUGGAGAGGGUCGUGGAAUUCCCGGUGUAGCGGUGAAAUGCGUAGAGAUCGGGAGGAACACCAGAGGCGAAGGCGGCGACCUGGACAAGCACUGGCACUCAACUACGAAAGCGUGGGGAGCAAACAGG